ACCGGGAGGCGACAGUAGGGAAUCUUGCACAAUGGACCCAAGUCUGAUGCAGCGACGCCGCGUGAGGGCUGCAGGCCUUCGGGUCGUAAACCUCUGUCCUUGUGGGAAUCUGCUGCCGGUACCCAAGGUAGGAAGCCCCGGCUAACUACGUGCCAGCAGCCGCGGUAAA
rnacentral:rRNA from 1 species